CCUACGGGUCGCAGCAGUGAGGAAUAUUGGUCAAUGGACGAGAGUCUGAACCAGCCAAGUAGCGUGAAGGAUGACUGUCCUAUGGGUUGUAAACUUCUUUUAUAUGGGAAUAAAAUGUUCCACGUGUGGGCUUUUGUAUGUACCAUAUGCAUAAGGAUCGGCUAACUCCGUGCCAGCAGCCGCGGUAAUACGGAGGAUCCGAGCGUUAUCCGGAUUUAUUGGGUUUAAAGGGAGCGUAGGUGGAUUGUUAAGUCAGGUGUGAAAGUUUGCGGCUCAACCGUAAAAUUGCAGUUGAAACUGGCAGUCUUGAGUACAGUAGAGGUGGGCGGAAUUCGUGGUGUAGCGGUGAAAUGCUUAGAUAUCACGAAGAACUCCGAUUGCGAAGGCAGCUCACUGGACUGAAACUGACACUGAGGCUCGAAAGUGUGGGUAUCAAACAGGAUUAGAUACCCGAGUAGUC
rnacentral:rRNA from 1 species